GAAGAAAAACUAAAUCCUGGGAAAAUCUGUCAGGGAAGUUUCUAGAACCAUAGCUUCUAGUGAGCCCUUUUUCACUUUCUACAUAUGAUAAGCUUGUUCAAUGCUUCCAAAAGUCAUGCCCUUUCUUGUGCCAAAUAAAAUGGAAGCCUGUAUCCAUUACUAGGAUCCCCGGUACAGCCUAACUGUACCUAAUAUGAAUUGAUGUCCCUACCAGGCCAUACUUUUAAACAUCUGGCACCAAGAUGGAACUUCUGUGUUGCUGGGUAACCUCUAAAUGAAUCCUCAAAGUCCACAAAUCCACAGUAACUUGAAGCACAGGAGAACUAUGCCCAGUUCCAAAACUGCUGCUGUUUUCAGGAAUGUUGUUGACCUCAACCAUCAGUAUUGUCUCAAGACUCUGAACUCCUGAUGGACACUUGGGCGGAGCAAAGGCAAGAGUGUAAACAUGCACUGUGAAGUGAGAGCAGGGUCUGCCAUAGACAUGUUAGCUUCACAGUUUGUCAAUGAGUCAGAGAGACAGGUAAGAAGAAAGAGAUGAAGAGAAAGACACAGAAAGAGCUCCCAGCUGCUUGUUCAUUCCCCAAACACCUACAAUACUGGAGAUAGGUCAAGGCAGAAGUUGGGAGGCACUGCUCUAGAGGACAUAACACACUACACUGCUGCCAAAAUCUUAUCUGAGAGGAUAAGAGCUGUUGUUUUCACUGUUCCUCAUGCCACUGCCUUGCCUGCAAAUUGGAAAGAUACUCAGAAUACUUACUGAUGAAGUGAGAAAUUCAACCAAGAAACAGUUUUUCUUGCAGUUUCUCUACUUGUACAAGGAAGCCUCAAAACAAGAAAAAGAAGAAUUUAUCUGGUUUCCAUGGGGAAGUGAAAUUGUUGUGCCAUGGGGUAAUGGUCCCUUUUAAUGCUUGGAUGACACUGGGACUUUCAAAAAACAUUGUCUAUCACCUUUCCAAUUUUUUUAAUUUGCUUCUUUCUCUGCACUGAAAAACUUUCUAAUUCAAAGGGGAAAAGCCAAUGCCCUAAGGAACAUUUUCUACAUUGUUGCUGCAUCCUUCUCUAACUGAAGCAUGACUUCUGAGUUAAGUCUUAGGUUUCUCACAGGCACAACUGGGCUGGGACCAGUUACUCAUGCCUGGCUGUAGAUUUUCUGAACAAAUUUGCUGGACUAGAAGCAAAUGGCAAGAGGAAAUUUACUUUGAUUCGGUUUACUGCCAUACUGAGUGUUUUUUGGAAAGAAGCUAAAUACACAAAUGAGUAUUUAGCAGCACACUCAUCAGGCAGAUGGAAUGACAGCGCGGAGACAAGCUUCACAAAUGAAAAAAAGAACAUUUCUUCUUCACAUUUGGAUGCCAGAAAAUCAUGAACAGAAACAUACUUCCUAUAGACACUAAAUACAAGUCUUGUCACUUCCACUUCUAUGCUGGAAAAACAACCCAAAAUGGAGUCAGGAAUUUUAGUGAAAAACUCUCACCAAGCCAUUUAGUAUAAACUUAUCAAGGAGGUACUUUACUUCUUCAAAGGAAAGAAAAAGGUGAGUACUGCCAAAAGCUGAGGAACUCAUAUAAACUGGGAAUCACACAGAGACCAACAUGAGUCUAAUAUUUCUUUGGAGCUUUAAUAUUUUCAAUAUUCUCAAUAUCAUAUAUACUACACAAUUUCAGCCCAUCUACU